AUCUAUAGGUGGCUGAAAGGAGAGAAGAAGCUAUAUCUGUGCUCAGUGUUCUGACCUGUGAACAUCUGGAUAAUUAGUAGCCUAAAACUCCCUGAAUAAAGCAAGUCUGAGACA
ensembl:snoRNA